rnacentral:tmRNA from 1 species
GGGGAUGAUUUUCUCGAGGCGGCCCCCUAUAUUCAGCGGUGCCGGCUUGCCCGGCUAUGGCGAUAAACGCGCGUGUAAUAAGCGGCUCGGACCCGGGGGCGGUACCCGGCGCCUCCACCAAGUGAACCUCGCGGGGUUCAGUUGAUGGGGGCGAAAUAGGAUCGACGGACGUGUAAAGACGUAGCUUUUGCUCGGUAUGAUAUCCGCCGUUAUCGGGUCGUCGCAUAGGUGCCAACGACAAUGAAAUGGCCCUCGCUGCCUAAUAGGUAAGCGCAGCCCGGUGGGGAGCUGGGCAACAGAAUCCCCACCACU